rnacentral:lncRNA from 1 species
GUCCCAACUACUGGGGAGACCGAGGGAGGAAGAAGGCUUGAGCCCAUUAGCUGGAGAACAAUCUGGGAUCCUGACAACUGGCCUUGGGGCAAUGGUAACUGGGGACACAACACAAUUCUGCGCUGUGUGUAGCAGGGAAUUCUUUUCCACUCUGGUGAAGCCAGAAUUUUUGACUUCAGUGCCAAAAAGAAUGUCAGAGAAUUUGAUCAGUUUGAUGAAAUUUCAUUGAUGUCAACUCUCCAGCUGUCUGUGCCUUACCAAAAGCUGUUUGCCUCCAAGACAAUAAACAGCCCGUGUGAUCCUUUCUCUUGCUUAAGCAGGAAGUCACCACUCAACAGGAAGGAAUUUAAAACCAAUCCCACAAAAUUUCGUGUUUGGUAUAAAAUGUGAAAUAUUUGAAGUCUGGGGAUAUUGUCAUCUCAGAGGUCCCCAGUGGGAACACAUGGCUGCUUUCCGGUUCAGUGAGAGGGUCACACCUUGCCCUCGAGUCGAAUAUAAUUGCAAACAUUCCCCUCUGGGGAAUAUCUUGUAAGGAA